CAUUCUUCUACCGUUGAAACUUUAAUUUGUGGUGGUGAUUGGCUUCGAGUAUUGCAUGGGAUUAGGAACAAACCUAAAGUGGAGCAUGUUUCGACAGAAAUCACAUUAUUCCCUUGAUGUUAAGUAGGAUGUUGAUCCACUUUCUCGUUUGUUGUUCAGAAUUGUUGCUGCUAUAGAGUUCGCAUCAUGUUUGAAGUUUGUUUCUUUCUAAAUGAGUAAAGAUUAAGUUGAAGGUUGUGUUAAAUGUGGCUGAAUACAAUUUUGUCUUUAAGGGGAGAGCAAUUGGAGUUUGGAAGUAGAAAAAUAUUAUGCAUUCUGUUAUCGACUAAUUGAGUUUUGUUGGAUUUUUUGUAUCAGAUAU